rnacentral:rRNA from 1 species
GUCCAAAUCACACAACACAGACCGCGGCCGCGUCGAGGUCAACGGCGAUGGCCAGGCACGACUAACUGGAAAAGGGAGCGCAGAUAGGAUGGGUUCGGAGCUUGCGAGCGAGGCCAGGGCGGUCCACACCGGCAAGGGAAGGCUCUCGCACCCCAGCUAAAACAAAUCGUUUAGGUGAGCAAAUCGUAACAAAAAAUAAUAAUUUUUUGAGGGGUUCGUAAUAACAACAACAAGUAAACAGGCCACAUUUCCGGCCGUCUCUACUCCUCCCCGGCGGCGUGGGCCCGAGAUGCAGGCGUGGUUCUCCGGCUCCGGGCCCUCGCCCUCCUUCUCCUCGUCGGCGGCGUCUUCGCAGCCGCCGCCGUCUCUGCUCGCGGAAUGGAACUCCUACGCCGCCGCCCGCUCCGCCGAGGAGGACGUCGGCGGAGGAUUCGGGAUCGACAUCGAGGCCGCCGUCCGCUCCGCCAACGACCGCGUCACCGGCACCUUCGGCGUGGUAUCUAAAGGAGUUAGAGGGUUCCCUGGCAGCUUCCAGUCCUCAACAAGCAGUGUUCCAUCUGGCAAAUCUCUCAUGUAUUUCGGCCUUUUUCUUGCCAGCGGCAUUUUCCUAGUUUUCAUCGCGUUCACAAUAUUCCUGCCAGUCAUGGUAAUAAUGCCUCAAAAGUUUGCGAUCUGUUUCACUAUGGGAUGUGCCUUCAUCAUUGGAUCUUUCUUUGCAUUGAAAGGGCCCAAGAAUCAGCUCUUUCAUAUGAUUUCCAGAGAGAGGUUACCUUUCACCAUUGGAUUUGUUGGCAGCAUGUUUGCUACCAUCUAUGUGUCAAUGGUGCUCCAUAGCUACAUACUUUCUGUUUUCUUCUCUUGUCUUCAGAUCCUUGCGCUAGUAUACUAUGCCAUCUCAUACUUCCCUGGCGGGUCUGCUGGAAUGAAGUUUCUGUCAUCUACCCUUGUGGCCUCAGUGUUGAGAUGCUUCAGGCGAUGAGUUCAUCCGUUAGUUACUCUCACCCAUCUGUCUCAGCCUGUGUUCAGCUCAGUAACAUUUUUUGGCUUUUGCUUUUGACAUGGAGAGAGUGUGUCAAAGAUGACCCUGGAGCUUGUGUUCACCGAUAUACAUGCAUGUCCAACUUACCGAUAGUAUUACUGAUUCCAUGGAAACCAUGCUCGAUGAGAUGCUUUGUUCUUUAUGGAGACGUGUGGAAUCGAAAUAUAAUAGACAGACAGAUAGUUUGUGAAUUUUGUAACGUCGCGGCAUGCCUGGCAUUCGAUCUUGUAUCAUGUACUCCCUUGGUUACAUCACAUUACCCUGCCAACUUCCCGGAAAUCCGACGACGAUAAC